UAGACAACUAGCAACUGCUAGCUAACAAACACUAGUGAGGAAGUCAUAAUCCCCAACUACCCACCAUUUUCCUCCUAACAUACACCAUAUUAAUUGAAGGUCGCUCCCUAUCAUGUAAAAUUAAGAUGGGAUGGAAAACUCUUCGUAGAUAUCUUUUUGAAGGAGAAGCAAUAUAUUGAGAUGUUGAGAUCCGGUGUUUUCAGCUUCCUCCGUCUCGGCCACCGCCGCGUUGCGACACCUUGGCUAGGCGGCGUCCGUGGUAUCUCUUGCCCCGCCAAAGUCCCAAACGAUCCAGCUGGGUAUUUCCAUUCUGAGGCGGAAGCCAGAGAACUAUUCGAAAAGUGGUGCAAGCGUUUUAACAAAAGAUACCCUUCGGAAGAAGAGAAACAAUACAGGUUCGGUGUGUUCCAGGAUACUCUUGAACUGUCCACUCGUAAAAACCAGAAGAUUGAGAACCCAUUCCAUCGCUGCUUUGGCACCAACGGUUUUGCUGAUCUAACCACGGAGGAAUUUAGCCAACGCUAUACUCCGCCGAAUCGCUGGCCAAUGCCCGGCACUUUUCGUAUACCAGAAGUGUGAUUGAUAACCCAAUUUGCUGAUUUAGUACUGAGGUGGUGUUGUUAUAUAUAUAACUCAGAAUCUUAUCUUUGUUAUGUUCAGAAUUUUAAUGUUAUUUUACAUGUAUGUCUGUGUUGUGGGUGGCUGAUUUUAACCCUGUCUAUGUGUGUAUGGAAUUUGAAUUGGUAAUGAAUGAGGCAUAGUUAAAAUAAUGCAAAUUUGAUA